CCGGGCUGGAGAAGGACCUGAGCGCGGCGGCGCGGUGGUGGCCGGGCUGGACUGAGAACCCGCGGGUCCUUGAGGCUGAGGCCUUCCGGUCGCUGGGAGGGGCCCGAGGAGCGCCUAGGCAGAGGUUUUUCGCCGCCGGCCUUCCCCGCUUUGGGGCCUCACAGGCACUGCUCGCACGCCCAGGCUAGUUCCGGAAAGCCGUCUGCUGCUCUGCUAAAAUGCCUGAGUUACUACCUGGAGGGUGGUAGUACGCUUAACUCCAAAUUGUGUGACAGGUCUCCAUAAAAACUUGAAGACUGGAAGAAAGAGGAGGGAGAGGCUGAAUGUCCGUUUCUUCUGUAUCACUCCUUAUCUGGGACUUCUCUGAGGCACAUGCCCAUCUCACCUCCCACAUCUCCAGCUUUUAAUGCUGAAUUACAAGUUAAGAUUAAUACAGAAAUCAAAACAGACAGGAUACAAAGCCCACAGUGCAGCGUAUUCGUCACUGCAUGAAGGACUGCAGCUUGGAGUUAGCUGCCACAGCCCAGAAGCAGCAGUGCUGGGUGUGUCCCAAGAACACCAAAGCUUUCAGAAAUGAAAAAGUUUGUCUUCUGUCUUUUA